rnacentral:lncRNA from 1 species
AUGACUUCUUUAUUGACUCACCAUUCAUUUGAAGAAAGGAGAGAGAUGCUAAAGAUAAGGGAGUUGAAUUUAACAGAAGUCUGGACUCUUAGUGUGUUCUUGGACGAAGCAGAGCAGUUCAGUGAACAAUAUCAGACUGUUUCCACCAAUACAAGUUGGACAUGUAAUCUACAGGGAAGAAAAAAAUUACAGAAGAACCCCAAAGAAUUUUGGAAGGAUUUUAGACGACUAAAGAAAAAGAAGCAUCUGGAAUGGUGGUCAAUUUGA